rnacentral:lncRNA from 1 species
AUAGUUCAUGCUUUAUAAAAUACCAAAAACUGAAAUUUGUUGUUUUCCUCAUAGAAGAACUGCAGCAGAACCUUCUGGGCAUUUGUGGAUGUUCAUAAUGUCGCAUCUGUGUAUGAGUGAAUACAUCGUGGAAAACAAAAAAGAAUAAACCUAGAAAAAUGAACAAGAAGACAACAAAGAAAGGAAACUGGAAAACCAACUUUUGUAUUAUAUGAAAAAUGUAAAUUGUACAAUCACAGAAAAGGGUUAUAUAAGAGAGGGGGAAGAAACAAAAAGAGAAACAGAAAGGGGGAAAAGAAAACAGAAAAGAAACGAUGGAGCGGUGCAUAUGGAGUAAUUAAUGAGAGGCAGUAGUGGUGCUUUUAAUAGUGUUCUGACAGCCCCCCUCAAGCUUGGCAUAGAUGUUUAGAGUGCCAAGCUUGGAAAUGAUGGUAUGGAAGGUGGAAGGAGGGAGAGCCUUUGUUAAAAUAUCAGUGAGCUGUAAAGUAGUAUGGAUGGGGAGAAGCUUGAUAGUGCCUUGCUGGACUUUUUUGCGAAUGAGAUGACAAUCUAUCUCGAUAUGUUUGGUUCUUUCGUGGAAGACCUGAUUAGUAGCAAUUUUGGUUGUAGAGUGGUUGUCGCAGAAGAUGGUAGCAGGUUGAGAGAACGGAAGGUGAAGAUCAGUGAGAAGAUUGGUGAGCCAUUGAAUUUCACAGGCAGUUUAAGAAAGAGCACAAUAUUCAGCCUUAGAAGAGUUGUGCGAGACAAUUGAUCGCUUCUUGGAUUUCCAUGAUAUUGGGGAACCGCCUAGGUAAACAAUGUACCUCGUGGUGGAUUUGCGAGAGUCGGGGCAACCAGCCCAAUCUGAAUCACUAUAAGCUUUUAAAGUGAGAGUGUAAAUACCCUGACCUGGUGUUUGUUUGAUGUAGUGCAGAAUUCUAAAAGCAGCUUGAUGAUGAAGCUUAGUUGGGGAAGUAACGUGUUGGCUUAAACGGUGGACGGCAUAAGUGAUAUCGGGACGAGUGUUGGUGAGGUAGAUAAGUGUCCCUAUUAAUCUUCUGAAGGCAGCAGGAUCAUCAACAGGAUCACCUUGAUAGCAAACUUUGGUAGAGAAGUUCAUUGGUGUACCGACAGGAGCAGCAUUAAGCAUUCCUGUUUCGUUGAGAAGAUCCAAAGCAUACUUGCGCUGGGAGAGAUGGAUACCUUCACUGCUUCGUGCCACCUCAAAACCCAAAAAAUAAGACAAAUUACCAAGAUUUUUAAUUUUGAAACGAUCAUUAAGCAUGUUGGUAAUGUGAUUAAUGUCAUUAAUGUCAUUUCCAGUCAAUAUUAUAUCAUCUACGUAAACCAUCAUGAUAGUAAUGUUAUCACCAUUGUGUUUGGUAAAAAGAGAAUGAUCACCUAAUGUUUGUGUGAAGUCUUGAGAAAGGAGAAAAGAAGAUAAUUUAUCAUACCAUUGACGACUAACUUGUUUCAAACCAUAGAGGGAUUUGUGGAGGAGGCAAGCUUUGUUAGGACUUGUGGCAGUGACUCCUGGUGGUAAUUUCAUGUAGACUUCUUCAUACAAGUCUCCAUGUAGGAAGGCAUUAUUGACAUCUAAUUGCUUUAGAUGCCAGUUUUGAGCAGACGCAAGAGAUAAGAUAAGGCGCACACUAGUAAGUUUUACCACGGGUGAGAAAGUGUCAAAGUAGUCAAUUCCCUCCAUUUGGGUGUAUCCCUUUCCAACAAGGCAGGCCUUGAAUCUAUCUAUUGUGCCAUCAGCAUUACAUUUAAUCUUGUAAACCCAUUUGCAUCCUAUAGCCUUUUUAUUAGGGGGUAGAGUAGUGAUGGUCUAAGUAUGAUUUUGUUCCAAAGCAGUGAGUUCUUCCUACAUGGCCAAUUGCCAAUGUUGGUGUUGUAUGGCUUCUUUGUAGUCUUGUGGAUUAGCAAGGUUGUCUAAAGAAGAAAUAAAAGUUCUAUAUGCAAUAGAUAUUCUAUCAAAUGUUAGAACAUGAUCAAUAGGAUAUUUAGUGCCAGUGCUGCUAUAAGAGGAAAUUUGAAAGUAUUUUAAAUAUUCAGGAUGUUUUCUUACUCUAGUGGACCGCCUUGGAGAAUGAGUGUCAUUCUCUAUAUUGUUUUCAUCAUUGUUUUCAAAAUUAGAUGAAUUAUUGGAAAUAAGCAUUUCAGAAAGUUGAUCAUGAUCAUAAGACAUUUGAUUAUUAUUCAAAGGAAGAGGAACACGCAGAUUAUCAUCAUAAGGUUGAUCAUGAUCAUAAGACAUUUGAUUAUUAUUCAAAGGUAGAGGGGCAUGCAGAUUAUCAGCAGUGGUGGAUUUGUUAUCAGGAAAAUCAGUUUCAUAAAAAGUAACAUUUUUAGAUAUUUUAAUAUCAUGCUUGUCAAGAUCAUAAUUUAUAUAACCUUUGGUAGUAGGAUGGAUCCCAAGAAAAAGACUAGGCUUGGCGCGAUGAUCAAUUUUCUUCCUAUUAGCUUGAAGAGUGCUCACAUAGCAUAAGCAACCAAACACUUUGAGUCUACUAAUAUCAAAAUCUUUCUGAUACAACCUGUCAUAAGGAGAACUAUCUUGCAAAAAAGGUGUAGGCAUGAUAUUAAUAAGGAGAGUAGCAUAAUUUAGAGCAUACGUCCAAAACUGAAUAGAAAUAUUAGAAUGAAAAAUUAAAGCUCUAGUGACAUUUAGAAGAUGUUGAUGCUUGCUUUCAGCUAUCCCAUUUUGUUGGGGUGUUUCAUUACAGGAGGUUUGAUGAACUAUGCCCUCAGUCUUAUAGUAAUCAUGCAUAUUAAAUUCACUACCAUUGUUAAACCUAAUGACCUUUAUGGUAGUUUUAAAUUGAUUUUUAACAUAUGCAAUGAAAUGAAUGAGAUGUUGGCGGGUUUCAGAUUUAGUUUUCAUCAAAUGCACCCAAGUGUGUCAAGUAUGAUCAUCAAUUAUGGUUAGAAAAUUUCUAUGAGAGUGUAAAGAAGCAACAGAGCAUCGUCCCCAAAUAUCAACAUGUAUAACAUCAAAAGGAUGUAAAGCAUAAGAAGUACUAGAAGGAAAAAGGAGACGUUUUUGUUUGGCAACAUGACAAGCAUUGCAGUUAUCAUAUCUAGAGUCAAUACAGUGGUAUUUUUUUGCCAGAGAUUAUUACAUCUAACUUUACAUAUUUGGUGAAUAUUUGCAUAAUUGUUUGAGUGUUGUCUGAUGCUGUUGUAGUCACGAAAGAUGUAUAAACCAGCGUGAGAGUUAACUAAACCAAUCUUCUUGUUUGUGUUCAUAUCCUGAAUAGAACAAACAAUAUUAGUAAAGGUAAGGCAUAGAUGAUUAUGAGCAACCAAUUUAGAUAUAGAGAUAAGAUUAUAACAAAAAUCAGGAAUGAAAAGGACGUCCUUUAGAAUGAUCUUGUCAUAUAUCUGAAUAACUCCUUUAUGAGUUGCUUUUGUUUACAUGCCAUUAGGUAAAUUGAUAGUAAUUGGGUUAAUCUUUUCAUAGGAUUGAAAAAGAUCAAGGGAAGAAACAAUGUGAUCUGUUGCGCCAGAAUCUAAAAUCCAAGAGAUACUACCUUUUUCUUUGUGUGAAUUAAGACCAAAAUUGGUUUUACCUGUAGCAGUGGAGGUAGAAACUAUAGAACUAAUUUGAUUAGUGGAUGCAGUCCCUGUAUCAUUGGUGGGUUUGAUAAGAGCCAUUAAAGCUUGAUAUUGUUGUUGAGUCAGUCGAACUUCAUGAUUAGGAGCAUCGUCUUGACUCUCAGCUUUGGUUUCUUAAUUUCUGGUCAUGAAGUUUUUUCCACUAUGAAGUCUAUGACCGGGGGGAAAGCCCUGCUUUUUGUAGCAAACCUCAAUGGUGUGGCCAACUUUACCAUAGUGAGAGCAAGUCUUUCGACUGGUAUAAUUUUUGUUCGUAGGGAAGCUAUUUUUCUUGAAACAAACAGACUCAGUGUGCCCAUUUUUACCACAAUAUGAACAUGAAACAGGAUUAAUAGCAGCUACGCUUUUUGUUUCUAAAGCAUUGAGAAAGUUGUUAUUCAUAACUUAUCUUUCUCGUUGCACAACGUAUGAAAAAAUUUUGGAAAUAGAAGGCAUGGGAUCAAUUAAAAGGACAUGGGAUUGAAUGUUACCAUAUUGCUCAUUCAACCCUCAGAGAAAUUGCAGGACACGAUCUUCAUGCUUUCUUUGGGCAAUAAUCUUGGUCAUUGCGCAAGAACAUGGUGUUUCACAUGAGCAAACUGGUUCUGGAUGGAAAUUCUCAAGUUCAUCCCAUAUGAUUCGAAGCUUGGUGAAGAAUUCUGUGACAGUGUUAUCUCCUUGACGCAAGCAAGCUACUUCAUUUUGCAAUGCGGAAAUCCGUAAAAGAUCUCCCUAAAAAAAUCUGGAUUUGAGGUCAUCCCAUAUGGCAUGAGCACUGUCCAUCCAAAGAAUACUAUGUCGUAUGUCAGGUGAAACAGAGUGAACAAUCCAGGAAACCACCAUAUUGUUGCACCUCUUCCAGGCAUUGCGAGUGGCGUCCUCCUUGAGUGGUUCAUUAGCAGUCCCAUCAACAAACUGGACCUUGUUCUUGGCACUCAAAGCAGUAAACAUUGAUUUGCUCCAGGCAUGGUAAUUGUUUGAUUCAAGGAGUGGAGACACAAGAGAAAUGACUAGACUUUCACCAGGAUGAAGAUACAUAAAACUGAAAGAACUAUUAUGAUCUUCUCCCAUUAUGCAAGAAAUUGUGAAAGAAAGUAAAAGAAAGUAAAGAAAAGAGGAUUUAGGGUUGGCACAACAGAAUUCUUCUUGUAGAGCUCUGAUACCAUCAUAGAAGAACUACAGCGGAACCUUCUGGGCAUUUGUGGAUGUUCAUAAUGUCGCAUAUGUGUAUGAGUGAAUACAUCGUGGAAACAGAAAAGAAUAAACCCAGAAAAAUGAACAAGAAGACAAUAGAGAAAGGAAACUGGAAAACCAACUUUUGUAUUAUAUGAAAAAUGUAAAUUGUACAAUCACAGAAAAGGGUUAUAUAAGAGAGAGGGAAGAAACAAAAAGAGAAAUAGAAAGGGGGGAAAGAAAACAGAAAAGAUACGGUGGAGCAAUGCACGUGGAGUAAUUAAUGAGAGGCAGUGGCGGUGCUUUUAAUAGUGUUCUGACAUUUUCUACUUUUCAGGUCUCGUAAAGUUGUAAAAAAGAAUCACAAUUAAUUUUAAAAAAUAUAAAAAUUGAUUAACAUCGUAUAUUGACAAAAUUCGACAUUAAUUUAACGUUGAAUUUUUUAAAUUCGACGUCAAUUUAACGUCGAAUUUUUUAAAUUCGACUUCAAUGUAACGUCUCCUGAUAUGAC